AUCUAAAGGGCAGUGCAUUUGCUUCCCAGAUGGACACCUACACCAAAACAGGGAAGGUUUACCUCCAACCAUACAAAACUGGCAAAAAUUGGAAGCCAGUGUUGUUGUCUCUGUUUCCCUCCAGCAGUAGAGAAGUGGGUCGACUGGAGAUCCAGAAUAUCGGAGGCAAAAGGCUGGUGGCACUUGACGAUCGUACAAGACACACUGGCACAGGACAAAGGGGAGACGCAGACUAUAAGCACACAUGGAGG